UGGAAUGCGGGGUGCUUACACAUGCAGUCGACGGUGAACACGGAGCUUGCUCUGUGGGAUCAGUGGCGAACGGGUGAGUAACACGUGAGCAACCUGCCCCUGACUCUGGGAUAAGCGCUGGAAACGGCGUCUAAUACUGGAUAUGUGACGUGACCGCAUGGUCUGCGUCUGGAAAGAAUUUCGGUUGGGGAUGGGCUCGCGGCCUAUCAGCUUGUUGGUGAGGUAAUGGCUCACCAAGGCGUCGACGGGUAGCCGGCCUGAGAGGGUGACCGGCCACACUGGGACUGAGACACGGCCCAAACUCCUACGGGAGGCAGCAGUGGGGAAUAUUGCACAAUGGGCGCAAGCCUGAUGCAGCAACGCCGCGUGAGGGACGACGGCCUUCGGGUUGUAAACCUCUUUUAGCAGGGAAGAAGCGAAAGUGACGGUACCUGCAGAAAAAGCGCCGGCUAACUACGUGCCAGCAGCCGCGGUAAUACGUAGGGCGCAAGCGUUAUCCGGAAUUAUUGGGCGUAAAGAGCUCGUAGGCGGUUUGUCGCGUCUGCUGUGAAAUCCGGAGGCUCAACCUCCGGCCUGCAGUGGGUACGGGCAGACUAGAGUGCGGUAGGGGAGAUUGGAAUUCCUGGUGUAGCGGUGGAAUGCGCAGAUAUCAGGAGGAACACCGAUGGCGAAGGCAGAUCUCUGGGCCGUAACUGACGCUGAGGAGCGAAAGGGUGGGGAGCAAACAGGCUUAGAUACCCUGGUAGUCCACCCCGUAAACGUUGGGAACUAGUUGUGGGGUCCAUUCCACGGAUUCCGUGACGCAGCUAACGCAUUAAGUUCCCCGCCUGGGGAGUACGGCCGCAAGGCUAAAACUCAAAGGAAUUGACGGGGACCCGCACAAGCGGCGGAGCAUGCGGAUUAAUUCGAUGCAACGCGAAGAACCUUACCAAGGCUUGACAUAUACGAGAACGGGCCAGAAUGGUCAACUCUUUGGACACUCGUAAACAGGUGGUGCAUGCUGUCGUCAGCUCGUGUCGUGAGAUGUUGGGUUAAGUCCCGCAACGAGCGCAACACUCGGUCUAUGUUGCCAGCAC
rnacentral:rRNA from 1 species